rnacentral:rRNA from 1 species
UACGUAGGGUGCAAGCGUUGUCCGGAAUUAUUGGGCGUAAAGGGCUCGUAGGCGGUCUGUCGCGUCUGCUGUGAAAACUUGGGGCUCAACCCCAAGCCUGCGGUCGAUACGGGCAGGCUCGAGUUCGGUAGGGGAGACUGGAAUUCCUGGUGUAGCGGUGAAAUGCGCAGAUAUCAGGAGGAACACCGAUGGCGAAGGCAGGUCUCUGGGCCGAUACUGACGCUGAGGAGCGAAAGCGUGGGGAGCGAACAGG